UACGGAGGGUGCAAGCGUUGCUCGGAAUUAUUGGGCGUAAAGGGUAGGUAGGUGGUCUCAUUUGUCUGGGGUGAAAGCCUUGAGCUUAACUCAAGAAGUGCCCCAGAAACGGUGAGACUAGAGUCUUGGAGAGGGUCGUGGAAUUCCCGGUGUAGCGGUGAAAUGCGUAGAGAUCGGGAGGAACACCAGAGGCGAAGGCGGCGACCUGGACAAGCACUGACACUCAACUACGAAAGCGUGGGGAGCAAACAGG
rnacentral:rRNA from 1 species